rnacentral:rRNA from 2 species
UCAGUUAAUAACUUUAUAUUGUGAAACUGCGAAUGGCUCAUUAAAUCAGUUAUGAUCUACGUGACAAAUUCUUUACUACUUGGAUAACCGUGGUAAUUCUAGAGCUAAUACAUGCAAAAAAGCCCUGACUUACGAAGGGGUGCACUUAUUAGAUAAAACCAACGCGGGGUAAAACCUGUUUCUUGGUGAAUCAUAAUAAUUAAGCGGAUCGCAUGGCCUUGUGCCGGCGACGGUCCACUCGAUUUUCUGCCCUAUCAUGGUUGAGAUUGUAAGAUAGAGGCUUACAAUGCCUACAACGGGUAACGGGGAAUUAGGGUUCGAUUCCGGAGAGGGAGCCUGAGAAACGGCUACCACAUCCAAGGAAGGCAGCAGGCGCGCAAAUUACCCAAUCCCGACACGGGGAGGUAGUGACAAUACAUAACAAUGCAGGGCCUUUAAGGUCUUGCAAUUGGAAUGAGUACAAUUUAAAUCCCUUAACGAGGAUCAAUUGGAGGGCAAGUCUGGUGCCAGCAGCCGCGGUAAUUCCAGCUCCAAUAGCGUAUAUUAAAGUUGUUGCAGUUAAAACGUCCGUAGUCAAACUUUAGUCUUACCGGCGUAGUGGCCUGGUCUUCAUUGACCAAGCUCAUUGCUGCCGGAGACUCCAUGUCCAUUGACUCCUAGUCCUCGUGGCUAGGGUUUUCUGGACAAUUACCAUGAGCAAAUCAGAGUGUUUAAAGCAGGCUUUUAAGCUUGAAUGUGUUAGCAUGGAAUAAUGAAAUAUGACUUUAGUCCUAUUUUCGUUGGUUUAGGUACUUCAGUAAUGAUGAAUAGAAACGGUUAGGGGCAUUUGUAUUUGGUCGCUAGAGGUGAAAUUCUUGGAUUGACCGAAGACAAACUACUGCGAAAGCAUUUGACCCGGGACGUUUCAUUGAUCAAGGUCUAAAGUUAAGGGAUCGAAGACGAUUAGAUACCGUCGUAGUCUUAACCACAACUAUGCCGACUAAAGAUUGGGCGUGUUAUUAUGACUCGCUCACAUCUUAGCGAAGGAAAGUUUUGGGUUUGGGGGGAGAUGGGACCAGGG